UACGUAGGGGGCUAGCGUUGUCCGGAAUCAUUGGGCGUAAAGAGCGUGUAGGCGGCCCGGUAAGUCCGCUGUGAAAGUCGGUGGCUCAACCCUCGAAUGCCGGUGGAUACUGUCGGGCUAGAGUGUGGAAGAGGCGAGUGGAAUUCCUGGUGUAGCGGUGAAAUGCGCAGAUAUCAGGAGGAACACCGAUUGCGAAGGCAGCUCGCUGGGACGUCACUGACGCUGAGACGCGAAAGCGUGGGGAGCAAACAGG
rnacentral:rRNA from 1 species